rnacentral:tRNA from 1 species
AUAGUCAAAUAAUGAUUUUAGAUUGCAAAUCUAGCGGUAAAGAAUAACUUUUAAGGCUUAAAUUUA